ACCUUUCUCUCUUUUCCAGGUGAAACUUGGUUUGUCUCUGUCUGAAUCAGGAAAGUCACUGGCUUUUAUGAGAGGGCUUUUAAUUCUUCCUGUUCUUGUUAAGAAACAGGAAAGUAACUGAUUCAGCCCUACGAAUGAUGGCCCUCCUGCUUCUGCUUUUGAUGCUGCUGUUGUCCCAGCCUGUCUCGGGAAAGCUGAUAACGAAAUGCCCGCUGAGUUUAGAGCACCAGGGUGCGAAGAAACCAUGGAGUUAUUACAGACCAGGAGACCAUUUCAUUAACAUAAUCAUCGCUACAUCAAAACUGGUGCAUAUAACUCUCCCUUUCAAUGCAGAGCCUUCUAAUCAGUUUCACUCUCUAGAAUCCUACGCCAUAUUUUCGCUAUUCAAAUGGUCAGUAAGAAUUCCCCGCUCCUGCACAAUCUCACACUUGGCUACAACAUCCAUGACAACUAUUUCAGCACGCUUGGCACAUCAGAUGCCUUGCUGGACAUCCUCUCUACAGGAGAAGCCAAUGUUCCCAACUACAGCUGUGGAAAGAAGGACAACCAUUUGGCUCUUUUUGAUCGAACUGACAGGGACAUCUCCAUCCAGAUAUCAACAUUAAUAGCCCCCUACAAAAUCCCACAGAUAUGCUGAAAUCUUCGCCAUCUCUGCAAAACCAGCCAUCUUCAAAGUCCAUUUUC